AUGGCGGCGGAUGAGGAGUUGACGAGCAAGGGGAUGGCCGGCCAUGAAGGGUGCCACCAAAAUUGUAGUGUUGAGAAGUGCUCGUCGACCGGCGGCCGGUGCGCCACCAAAAGGAAGGCCGAGGAGGCGGCGGCGGCCGGCGAGGAGUGUCCGCUGAAGGUGUGCAAAGUGGAGGCGGCGCCGGAAGUCGCCGCAGAUUCAUUGAAGCCGGCAGUGGAGGCCGUACGCGAGAAAAGGUUGACGCGGCUGCCGCAGGAAGAGGUCGAUUGGACCCUUGCCCAUGUGGUGGAUGGUCCUGUCUCCCAUCACUACAAGUCCCUGAAGCGCCAAAACCCCAGCUUGCUGCCCUCGCCGGAGGAGCAGAUGGACAGGUACAAGGUUGAUCUCUAUAAUGGUGCCCGCGCUCUCUACGCCGUUCGAGAGAGAUUCGCCAAGUUCCAGGCACUUGUCCGCGCUGAGUAUGAGAAGCGCGGUUACGUCGAGGUCGACGACGACUUCCUCGCCCGCAGGGCGCACCUCCGGGCGUAUAACGAUGUCCUACGCGCCGAGGUAAUGAAAUAUGUCGCCCAUUUGGUCGACACCGGCGAACUUUUGGUUGCCCCCCGCCAAGAAUAA
rnacentral:rRNA from 1 species